AACGAACGCUGGCGGCAUGCCUAACACAUGCAAGUCGAACGAGACCUUCGGGUCUAGUGGCGCACGGGUGCGUAACGCGUGGGAACCUGCCCUUAGGUUCGGAAUAACUCCCCGAAAGGGGUGCUAAUACCGGAUAAUGUCUUCGGACCAAAGAUUUAUCGCCUUUGGAUGGGCCCGCGUUGGAUUAGCUAGUUGGUAGGGUAAAAGCCUACCAAGGCGACGAUCCAUAGCUGGUCUGAGAGGAUGAUCAGCCACACUGGGACUGAGACACGGCCCAGACUCCUACGGGAGGCAGCAGUGGGGAAUAUUGGACAAUGGGCGAAAGCCUGAUCCAGCAAUGCCGCGUGAGUGAUGAAGGCCUUAGGGUUGGAAAGCUCUUUUACCCGGGAUGAUAAUGACAGUACCGGGAGAAUAAGCUCCGGCUAACUCCGUG
rnacentral:rRNA from 1 species